AAAAUAGCCGCACCUCUCUUCGAUCUCCUCUUCCUCUCUCAACCUCUCUCUUCGAUCUCCCUAGAUAUCAACGAUGAUGGAACCCAGCGCCGCCAGCCAUCGACAGAAUCAAAGAGCUGCCAGUAGCCAUCUCCACCAACGCCGACAGCACCACUCGACACUCUCUUAGGCUCUUAGCGCUGAAAUCUCAGCAUUGAAGCUCAAUUUUUUCUUUUGCUCUCAACGGGUAAGAAUUUUUGUCUUUGCUCGAAGCGUCGUUGUCAUUCUUGGAAGUCUUCUUCUCCAUUUUCAAUUUCUAUCCAAUUUUUGAUUAAAAAAAGUUGAUAUGGAAUUUGCCCACUGAAUUUCAUUCGAUUUCACAACAUCAUUUUAGAUUUUAGCUACUCAUACAAAAAGUAAAAUAACAAGAACAAAAGUAAAGAUAUUGAAGAUUAAAGAUCUUUGUUUAAGAAGUAGAAAAAGUAAGAUUAUGAACUAGAUGAAAUAAUAAACCUAUAACUAAACAAAAAGUAAGAAAGAAUGUCAAAUCAUUACAAUUGAAACAUCAUAUGCAAAUUUAUGGUCAGUGGAUUCUCCUUGCUGCUCUGUUGAUUUUCUUUUAAGGGUUGUUGGAUUCACAUUGUGAAUUUACUCUGUAGGCAUGAAUUGCUUCAUAGUUUGCUUCUCUUUGUUGUAGGUUCCUCUUUAGUUCUGAUCUUCAUCAUCAAGUGUUGAUUGUUGAUUGAAGUCAUGGUCAUUUAUUUUGUAUAUUGACCAUCAUGUACAAUGUCCUGAUUGGCGCAUUUUAUGAUCUUUUCAAUGUGUGUAACUCAGCCAACAAUCAAGCUUGAACGUCGCUAGAUCUUGUUUGAUAUAUUUAUUUUUGAAUUUCAAUCAGGCCUUUUCCUACUUUCUAUAUUUCACUAUAACAUUCAAGUUUUUCUUGACACUGACUAUUAUAUUUUAUUAAAUAAUAAUAUUUUUUUAUAGUAAUAUUUUAUCAUAACAAUUAAAAAAAUUUUGAACUGUAAACAUUGUCAUUGAGAAAUUUGAAUGUAUUUUAGUCACUUUGUUUGCACAUACUAUGAACCCAAAUAAUAAUACAAGUCUAAUGUCUUGUUUACAUCAAAGAUGCAUCAUUAGCUUGUCACCGCUACACUUUUUAUACAAGUACCAUUUGUAGUUCUGUCCUAAUUUUUGUAAGAAUUAAAAGAGAGUAAAAGUUCAUUUGUCUUUAUACUUGAUUCUAUUUCUCAACUGUGCUUUCGGUUACAAAACUUCAAAGUAAUAUUGACUAACAAGGUCUUAUUGAAGUUUAGCAACAAUAAUAUAUAUGUGUUCACACUUAAAUUUUUUAAGUAUGAACACAAUAUAUUGUGGUUGCUAAAUUUCAAAUACGACAUUGUGACAUUUAGCAAUAACAAUAGAUUGUGUUGCUAAAGGCCAAGGACUACAUAUAUGUAUGGAUAUGUAACUAUCUCUCUAUAUAUGCACACACCAAGUGUAUAUUCUAAGUGUGAACACAAUAUUUAUUGUUGCUAAAUGUCAAGUAUGACCUUGCUAGUCAAUAAUUACUUUUACUCUCUUUUUCAUCCUUACACGAAUAGGCACAAAACUACAAAAUGUACCACUAAAUAUUUUAGCAAGUGUGAACAUAAUAAAUUAGGGUAAUAACCCAUACUACAAAAAAAAUCCUACAAUUCAAUAUUGCCAUCAUAUAUUAUAGGAUUUUUAUAAUAUGGAUAUACCACCGAAAAGGAGAAAAAAAAGUAUUAAUGAGAAGUGAUUCUUGUUUUCUUUAGAUGAAUAAUUCAUUAUUCAAUUAGAUAUACUUUUUUCUUUUAAAUUAUUCGUCUCAAAUUUUUUAAUUUGAUUUCUCAUUUUACUUGUCUUUUUUCGUUAAUCAAGAAGAGAUAAUUUUUUUCCAUGUUUACCCUUUGCAUUAAUUACUUUUUCUUCAAAUUUAAAUGUAAACCUCAUUUAAUAGGGGUACUAUGGUAAACUAACCAUGCUAUUAAUUAUUUUUCUUAAUCAAUGUGUCAUCUCAAUUUAAGACAGAUAAUUUGAGACGGAGGAAAUAUUAUUUAGCCUUUUUAAAGCGUAGGUGCCAGCAAAUAAUAUUGGAUCAAUUCUAACAAUAUAUACAUACAUAUAUAUAUAUGUAUACCUAAUUUGGUGAAAAGACUAUGGAUUCAGGUGAACCACAUAUAAGGAUAUAAAUUCACCUUAUAUAAAUAUAUAAGGCCCGUAAAAAAAUUAUUGAAUUCACAUGAAUUUAAUCCGCUCCUAUUUAGCAACAAUAGUAAAAAUAAGGUUUACUUAUUUCAAGUCUCACCAAUUCUCAAUUAAGUUACUUGAUUUGAAAGGGAAACUAUGAAUGGAGUUUGAGAAUUAGAUUUAACCUAUAUACCGAGGAUUAAGUAAAGAAUGUUUCUAAUAAAUAUAUAAACUCAGUUAUCCUCCAGGAUACUGAUUUAUAUUAGAUAAUUACUUAUAAGUACUUUUAAGUGGCUUAGUUGCAUAUAUCCGCUCUUUGACAAUCAAUUUAUAAAAGUUAAAUAAGUUUAUACUUAUAAAUAUCUUUUAGGAGGCUAUACAACAAUAAUAACAUAUUCAUUGUAGUUCUAUAAGGAUCUUAUCCGUAUCUUUGUGAGAUAGAAAGAUAUUUUCAAUAGAUUAUCGGUUCAAGAAAAUUAUUUUUCUAAUUGGUUUGGAUGAAAUGAAAUAAAUAAAAGUUAUGAUGGAAAUAUUGAAAAAAAAAAGUAGCAAUGAAAGAAGUAAAGAUAACCACAAUUACAAGAAAAUAAGGGGUCAUUUGUUUGGGAAACAAGUUAUCUCGGAAUUAAUUCUUUCGGAAUAAGUUAUUUCACCCUUAAUAAGGUUGGAUAAAAAUAACACUACAAUCCCGAUAUAACUAAUCUGAGGAUGAGUUAUCUCAUGCAUUCUAUCCCAGCAAAACAUUGAAUAAGCUCAUUUUAAAAUUAAUCAAAAUUAAUUAUCCCUCAUUCCUUGUAUCAAACGAGCCCUAACUACCGUAAUAGAACCAAAGAAUAAGCUAUUGCUAGCGUAAUAAUAAUACUGAUAAGAGAACGGAUAGAUGCUCCAACAAGAAGGCUACGAUAUUGUGCUCAGAUUCAACAUAAGUACAAUUAUCUUGUUAAAUUGAUCUUAGCUAAAAAUGACAAAUAAACACCACUUUUCCAAAUGAGAAAUUUCAAAUUAUGACAAGCAUGAUGUUCUAAAUUGAUAAAUAUGCUAAUUAUAGUAGGUACAGGCAACACAUAAUGCUACAUAUUUCUUCUUUAUGCAUAGAAAAGAUAAGCUCUUUCUAGCUUAUACAACUUUAUGGUUAGUACAUUUGAUUCCUUACUUAAUUUACCUUCAGAAACAUGCAUGUUAACAUGGAAAAAAAAAUUAUCUCUCUCAAGUUUGAAAUAAAAAAGACAAUAAAAAUAUUAGAGCAAACAACAAACAACCACCCAAAAAAAAUAAAAAAAAGAAUCAACUAUUGUGAAUUCGUUGUAGAUUUAUUGCUAAACACUCCCUUCACUUCGUUUUACUUGGCCUAGCCUUACUAAAAGUACAUGUUCAAUUAAUUGUCCAGCUUAAGAAAUCAAUAUAAGUUUAUCAUUUUUUUCAAUAUAUAAAGUAUUAGUCGUCGAAUUUAGAUUUUCAAAUCAUAAUUAAUAAGGUUAAUUUAAUAAAAUAAACUCCUAAUAAAUAUUUUUGUAAGAGAGUGUCAAGAGAACACUGACCAAGUACAAUGAAUGGAUUUUUAUUUGUCUAUUUUUUACCCCAUUGUGUGAGAAUAUAUCAAGUAUGUUGUUGUAGUAUUCACUUAAGUUGUCCAUAGCUAAUUCAUGAUCUUCCUGCUAUGUAUGAAUGCAAUACAAGCCUUUUCCCUUUGAAUCUUUAAAAUUGCAACAUAAAUCAGCCAGUUACCUGUUUCUUCACCUGUUCUAAAUAUAAAUUUUAUAAUUUUAAAAAUAUAAUAGGUUACUUGCCGUGAUGGACCUAGCAUUCAUCAAGGGAAUUUAAGAUAUAAUACUCCAAAUUGAAUAGUUUACAUAGGUAGUUACUCAAAAAUUGUAUCUGCCACUCUAUUAGAUGUCCUAGCUUCAUGGUGUAUCAGCGUGAUCCCCAACUCCUGUAGAAGAUCAUACAAUUACUAGUAAAAGAUCAUAAACUUUAACUUCAUUAGGGAUGAUAUUCAUAAACUUUAACUUCAUUAGGGAUGAUAUCAUCGUCUCCUCAACAAUAAAAGUAACUGAGAAAACUCCAUACAACUAACUUUAACCUCAUCAAACUCCCAUAUCUGUUCUAUUUAUAUAGCACUACCAAUCAACUCAUUUUUGUACACAGCUACAUCUCUUACAUUUCUUCUAUCUUUUUUCUUUUUACAAAUUAAAAAAAAAAAAUGAAAGAUCAAUUUCGUGAAUUAACCUUUAAGGAAUUUCUUGAAGAGAUAACAAGGCAAGAACAAAGUUUUUUUCAGAAAAAAAGAGCUGAAAUGCUUAAAGAAAAUCCUGAGUUAUCAAUAAAAGACCUUUUUCCUCCAAUGCCAAACAAAACUACUAGUAAAAAUAAUGCUUAUAAUGCAUCUACUCCAGAAACUGAAUUUGAGCAAGCAAAUUAAUGUAGUGAAAAGAUGCCAACUGGUGAUAUUGUUGUGAAUGAGAUGCAAAAAGGUAUUCUUCCUUUUUUUUUCUUUGUGUUAACGUCUUUGAUAUGAUAAAAGUCCUUUUUCAUGAGAAAUAAUUUUAGGAGUUUUUGUUUUUCAAUUUUCCAAAGUUUUUUUUCGAUGGGAAGUGUUUUUUCUGAAAAAUGUUUUUGAGAAAUUGGACCACUAAUAAAUUAAGUGUGGUAUUUCUGAUGGAAAGCAUUUUUCAAAGAAAAUAAUGCAUGGACAAGUAAAGACCAUAGACUAAGGGAGUAACAUCAUAAGUGUUAUCAGUUGGUAAUGACGGAAGUCGUUUUUUUCUUUUUUGAUGGAAAACGACUUUCUCAUGAAAAAUAGUUUUUCAGAAAAAUGACAAGCAAAUACACCAUUAAUUAAUUACAUGUGUCCUCAAUAACAUGAUGGAUUUUUUUAUUUUUUUUUAAAUUUGGGUUUUGGGUAAUAUACAUUUUACUGUUUUAUAUUUCCAUUGUGAUACAGGUAAAGGACAAAAAGAAGCAAAAGCUUAGAAGGAAGAUGGUAGCUAAUAGUUGAGAAUCAAGUGUUAAAUGAGAUAGAAUUGUAAAUAAAUAAAUGAAGUAAAAAAAAAACUAGCCUCGUUCAGUGACUUUGCUUUAAGAAAAUUAAGUCAAAAUUAUAGAAAAAUGGAAUUAAUGUGAUGCAUGUCUGUAUCUAUGUUUGCAUUAAGUUAAAUAAACAUCAUAUGGUGAUGUCUUGUUUACUAAUUUUUUCCUCACUUCCUAUAUUUUAGUUACAUUUUUGCCUGUAUAUAUUGAUCAUCAAAUUAACCUAAGAAUGCUUCAUAUUUUUUUAAUUAAAGCUUCAAAAGGAAAAUUCAAUCUAGGAAAACAGAUAAGCACACAAUUGAUAAGCACACAAUUGGAAACUCCAAAGUUGAGAUGGAGUAGCAUGUUUGGUACAAUGAAAGUCCUUAAAAUAUUUUUUUAGGAACAAAUUUUUUCUUUUUGAUUGGUGAAUAAAAGCUACUUUUUAAUAAAUCAAUACAAUAUAUUCAGUGUAACUUAUAAGUGGGGUAUGGGAAAGGUGAUGUAUAGUAUGCGUUACCAUCGG
rnacentral:lncRNA from 1 species